CUUCUCAUCUUACUUAUCUGACUCUCACUCAUGCUUCCUGUCACUUUCUGUGCAGCAAAAGUGAAUCGAGGAGAAAUUUAUGUGACACAGCCUGGAAAUUUCCCCUGUAAAGCUAUUUUUCACGUGCAUGGAAAACAGGAUGAAGUCCUCAUUGAACAACUUGUGUGUGAUAUCAUUUACUAUUGUGAAUCGUAUAAUUACAGUUCAGUGGCAAUUCCUGCCAUGUGUGCUGGAGCUGGAGGGUUGAAUCCUGCGAUUGUAGCAGGAGCCAUUCUUCGAGGGAUCAAGUCAUCUGCAUCAAUCAUGAACAGCCUCACCAACAUCCGUCUGAUCCUGAUUAAGAUCGAUGUCUUCUUGACUUUUAAAGAGACAGCGAUGCAGAUGUAUUCUGUCAUCAACAGAGUACUUCCAGUACUUCCAGCACUUCCAGCACUUCCACCACCUCCACUACAUCGACCACCACUUCCAGCAC